rnacentral:piRNA from 1 species
ACCNGAGAGACAAGGCAUCUCCUAAAUCUGAG